GCUGAGAUGGCCGAGUGGUCUAAGGCGCGUGACUUAAGUUUAUUCAACUUUCAUCUCGUGGUGCAUUCACCGCGUGGGUUCGAACCCCACUCUCAGCA